UAAAAGAGAUUAUUUUAUAUUUUAAGAAAGAUAUUAUUUUCUGGGUGUUAUCUGGAAGUCCGGAAUUUUUACUUAAAAUGAAAAAUAUAGAAAAGAAAUUAUUAAAGCAGCAGUUCAACUAUGUGAGAUCAGAAGGGUCAAUUGACAGAGCUGCGAUUAUCCUUAGGGCUCGAUGAAAAUAGGGCCCAAAUAGAGGUUUUUGUAAUUAUUGAAUAAAAUAAAUAAAUCUGCAGA